AGGAGGAUUGAGAAGGUAAGAUUAGUUAUUUUGUACUGGUUCUUACUGGUUAUGGCCUCCAAGAUUAAAGCGGUGCAAAUCAGCCCAUGUUCUCUGUCCUGAUUUGAGGGGAAACAAUACUGCUUUUGCACAUACAGU
rnacentral:snoRNA from 1 species